GCUCUGGCAAACAUAUUUCCUGGGAACAAAUCUUAUUAAGCUUUCUGAAGUUUAGAAUUCUCGCCAACUACUCUGAGGUUUCUUAGGUCAGGAAGUAUUGAAUCAAACGUCUUGUAGUUUUCGUUUGUUUUGUCUUCAAGAUCGGAGUAACAGAUACAAGAGAGUAAAAUAUAUUUAUUCGAAGCCCAUAAAUUUCAUCUUCUGUGUAGCUGCUUAUCAAGGAAGAUUUUGAGCAGACAGGAGACAUCACUCUGGUGAAACAAAUCUGCAAAGUGGGUACAUUGUUGAUCAUCGGGAAGGAUAGUUCAAUUGUACAAGAACAAACAGAAGAAACAUUGCAUUGGAUCUUCCUUUGUUACUUAUUUUUGAAGAUUUAUGAGAUCAGACAAUAGAAGGCGUGCCUUCCUGGAUUUUAUGGUUUGGAUUGUGCUCACAUCUGUGACUGCAAAAAUGGAGCCAGUUGUGAUGCAGUGCAUGGACAGUGCAUUUGCCCAGCAGGUUUCCACCAGUGUGAAAAAGAGUGUUCACUUGGAAUGUUCGGAGACAAUUGCCAUCAACUUUGUGACUGUGAAUGAGAAAGUUCCUGCCACUCAGUAACUGGAAAAUACUUCUACCCACCUGAGAAAACUGGAGCCACAUGUGAUGGUGUGGAGAAUGACCAAAGAGCAACAGACGAGAAGUUAGAAAUCCAGCUCCGCCAUUCACCUGGGAUAUAACAUGUACGAAGAUUUCUUAAGCCACAGCGAACCUUGGUUUAUCUCUUUCCAGAAUGAGAGGGCUUACCUCACUGCCUUGCCUACCUCACAAGUGUUUGUUAGAACCAAAUGAAAUAAUGUAUUAGGAACCCAUUUUGUAAACUGCAUAGAGCGAGGUGACUGUUAUUACUACAAGUUAAAUUUCUCUGAUCCUUAAAUAUUGGUAAAUUUAUUUAAUUCCUAGUCUUGCCAGUGUGACUAGAAAGUAUGAAUCGAUUUUCUGUUUCCAUGGGCUGGACUGGGCUGGACUUUCUCCCUAACCUCACAAUCCUUCAGAGACAGAACCUGUUAAUUCUCUGCUAAUUCUCUUCUGGACUAAUACCAAACACCCAGACUGGGGUGUGAUAUUUGAAGGACCCCUUUUAGUCCAUCUUUAGUUAUUUUAAUAAAACGUUAACUCUUUUUAUCCCUUCCUUUUAU
rnacentral:lncRNA from 1 species